CAUCACUUCAGAGCAAAAGCAUCAUAUAUAUCAUUCCUCUUCUUCUUGAUUAGGAUCAUGAUGAUCAUCAUCAUAAUCAUCAUGAUAUUUAUGAUCAUAAUGAUGAUCGUUUCUCUCUUUCAACUUUUUCUAUCUUCUCCACUACAUCAUGGUUGUACUUUCGAACGUGUGACUAUCUCACGGAGAAGAAGAUUUCUUGGACAUUAGUGUUCCAUUGGCAUUAUCCUCGCUGAGCUUUUUUUUUUCUCUAUGAAAACAGAAAAAAACAAAAAAUAGUUUUGUUUCUACUAAAUCAGAAAGUUCUUCUAUAAUUUAGAAGAUUUUUCUUGACCUUGCAAGGCUUAUUAGUUUUGUAUUGUUCUUUUAUUUUCUUUUAUCUUCUCUUCAUUUUUGUAUUUUAUUUUGUAUUGGUUUGUUGUUUCUAUUCCUCCUGAGCUUUAUGUAUAAUUCACUACUAAUCCCAUAAUUUCUCAGUUAUUAGUUCCUCUGAAACGUC